CAUGCACUGGCGGGCAAUGGCCGACCUGUUUUUAUCUCGUGGAGAUUCUAACUCAGAACUCCACCCAGCUUGCUAGGUUCCCACUGGCAGUUGCUACCACGCCAGCACCGUGCUUCAAAUCCCCCCACAGUCUUUGUGGUGUACCUCAGGCAGACCCGGCACUUUACCACUGUACCUUUCUUGAACCCAGGCGAGCCACUACGUGAAGGAAAACACAACACAAACUCAGUUCAGAAACAAUGGUAACUCAAUCUCUGAGUGCAACAACUAAAACCUAAUCUUGUGAGCCUUAUUAAAAACUGAUUCCUCUAGUGAAUCCUUGCGGAUCCGCCAUGAAACAGGAAAACUCUAGCAGCUACAUCUUACCCCUCGGCUGUCCCAUUCCAAACGGGACCUAACUCGCCCCCCCUGCUACCUAUUUUUUUCUCUCUCCAACCCAGCAGUCCCGUCUACUCGCCCAGUGAUUGGCUCCCCUAUUCACUAGGUGAUUGGUUCACAAGAACAGCACCCGGCCCAUCCGCAACAUAGAUCGGCAGACCCGUCCUCUACGAUCU
rnacentral:lncRNA from 1 species